rnacentral:lncRNA from 1 species
AAGGACAUUGCCCUUCAAUAAUUCAGCAGAAGCCCAAUGUGGGAAGAACUUACCCCGAAGAGAUUUGUGAGUGUGGCUUUUGUCUAAUGAAGUGAGCCUCAAUAAGAGUCAUAGGAAACACACAAAAUUUCUAAAAUAGUUACAGCUACAGAAAUACCACCAGUUUAUAAUUACAGAAAUACCACACAAUAAGAAGAGGCAUGUGGAACCCCAAAAUAUUACUGAGAAAACUACACAGCUCCAAAACAGGCUACCUUUCAACGAAAAGGAAAGGAAUCAGAAGAGGAAACGAGAAUCCAGAGGGUGGAGCUGAGAGCCAUGGAGAAUCACCCCUCAGCAGGAGUAGGACCGAGUUUGAGUCAAGAAACUUCUCCUAUAUGGCCAGGAAGAUUGGCCCUGAGCUAACAUCCAUGCUCAUCUUGGUCUAUUUUAUAUUUGGGACACCUGCCACAGCAUGGCUUGAUAAGUGAUGUGUACGUCUGCACCCAGGAUCCGAACCAGCAAACCCCAGACCGCCAAAGCGUAAUGUGCGAACUUAACCACUGCAGCCGGGCUGGCCCCUUGACUGUAAUCUUUUGAGGAAGAUUAGCCCUGAGCUAACAUCUGCCACCAAUCCUCCUCUUUUUGCUGAGGAAGCCUGGCCCUGAGCUAACAUCUGUGCCCAUCUUCCUCUACUUUGUAUGUGGGACGCCCGCCACAGCACGGCUUGACAAGCGGUGCGUAGGUCCACACCUGGGAUCUGAGCUGGUGAACCCCAGGCUGCGGAAGUGGAAAGUGCAAACUUAACUGCUGCACCACCGGGCUGGCCUGACUGUAAUCUUUUAAGAGACCCUGAGACCAGAACCAUCCAGCUAAGCCACAACCAAAUUCAUGGCACAUAAAAUCUGUGAGACAAUAAAUACUUGUUGUUUCGAACUACUAAUUUCAGAGAUAAUUUGUUACACAGCAAUACAUAACUAAUAUAGGUAUAAACUAUUCUGUUCUUCUCUCCCUUGCCUUUUCUGUAAUUAAUAACAAUGCUGCAACAAACUUCUUCGUGUGUACAUCUUUAUGUGCUCAAUAUAUUAUUUCUGUAGCAUAAAUUCUUAAAAUUGGAAUUUCUGGCUAUGCACAUUUUAAAUUUAGAUGGAUAUUGUCAAAUUACCUCCCCAAAAUAAUUGUAGCAAUUUACACCCUCCCAAACAGUGGAUGGUGCCUUUAUAUCUUUGACAAUUUUAAAUGUUAUUAGUCUUUCUAAUUUUUCUUAAUCCUACGAGAGAAAGUAUCUGAUAUUUUUAUUAAUCUGUAUUUCUUAACUUUUGGUAAAGGAGAGCAUCUUUUUGUAUGUUUAUGGCUUGAAAAAGCACCUUGCUAAUUUCAGGUAAAAUUCUCCUCACGUGCUCUUGUCCCUUGAUCUUUCCUCUUCUACAAUGCCUAGCAUUUAGUUCACAUUACAUAAAUAUGCAGUUUUUUGAUUGGAUGAACGAUGGAAUAAAUGAAAUUCAGAUAUGCAGAAAGUCUUCAUUUAACCCCAUGGGACUGACUUUUAAUUGGGAGAAAAAUACCUUAGCAACCAAUUAAUUUAAUUAUUUUUCACUUCCCCUUUAUCACUAUUCAAUUAUCAUUCAAAUGUUCUCUGACUAAGCUCUUUAUGACUUGUUCGGGCUAAUCUGUUUCUCAAAGUGACUAUACU